GCGAUCAUACCAGCAGUAAUCCACUGUAUCCCAUUAGAACUCCACAGUUAAGCAUGCUUGGGGGAGAGUAGUACUAGGAUGGGUGACCCCCUGGGAAGGCCUUGUGUUCCACCC